AUUGAACGCUGGCGGCAGGCCUAACACAUGCAAGUCGAACGGUAACAGGAAGCAGCUUGCUGCUUCGCUGACGAGUGGCGGACGGGUGAGUAAUGUCUGGGAAACUGCCUGAUGGAGGGGGAUAACUACUGGAAACGGUAGCUAAUACCGCAUAACGUCGCAAGACCAAAGAGGGGGACCUUAUGGCCUCUUGCCAUCGGAUGUGCCCAGAUGGGAUUAGCUAGUAGGUGGGGUAACGGCUCACCUAGGCGACGAUCCCUAGCUGGUCUGAGAGGAUGACCAGCCACACUGGAACUGAGACACGGUCCAGACUCCUACGGGAGGCAGCAGUGGGGAAUAUUGCACAAUGGGCGCAAGCCUGAUGCAGCCAUGCCGCGUGUAUGAAGAAGGCCUUCGGGUUGUAAAGUACUUUCAGCGGGGAGGAAGGGAGUAAAGUUAAUACCUUUGCUCAUUGACGUUACCCGCAGAAGAAGCGCCGGCUAACUCCGUG
rnacentral:rRNA from 1 species